rfam:Microgenomates bacterium GW2011_GWC1_41_20 TT51_C0019, whole genome shotgun sequence.
AGGGGCGUAGUUAAACGGCAGAACAGCGGUCUCCAAAACCGUUAAUGGGGGUUCAAUUCCCUCCGCCCCUG